AAAGGGAAAGCCAAGGGCAGAGGGAAAAAAUAGAAACGUGACCCAUAUGUCUUUUGUUUGCUUUUUCUUUUUUCCCUGUAAGAAUUGAGUUUUUAGUACCGUUUCUGGGCAUUUUGAAUGCUCCCACUUUUUCGAACACAGAGA
rnacentral:ribozyme from 1 species